rnacentral:rRNA from 1 species
UGGGGAAUUUUGGACAAUGGGCGAAAGCCUGAUCCAGCAAUGCCGCGUGUGUGAAGAAGGCCUUCGGGUUGUAAAGCACUUUUGUCCGGAAAGAAAUCCUUGGCUCUAAUACAGUCGGGGGAUGACGGUACCGGAAGAAUAAGCACCGGCUAACUACGUGCCAGCAGCCGCGGUAAUACGUAGGGUGCAAGCGUUAAUCGGAAUUACUGGGCGUAAAGCGUGCGCAGGCGGUUUGCUAAGACCGAUGUGAAAUCCCCGGGCUCAACCUGGGAACUGCAUUGGUGACUGGCAGGCUAGAGUAUGGCAGAGGGGGGUAGAAUUCCACGUGUAGCAGUGAAAUGCGUAGAGAUGUGGAGGAAUACCGAUGGCGAAGGCAGCCCCCUGGGCCAAAUACUGACGCUCAUGCACGAAAAGCGUGGGGAGCAAAACAGGAUUAGAUACCCUGGUAGUCCACGCCCUAAAACGAUGUCAACUAGUUGUUGGGGAUUCAUUUCCUUAGUAACGUAGCUAACGCGUG